CUCUCUCACACACACACACACACAAGCACAGUUAAUUUACUUCAUAGUCAAAUAGUCAUUGUAUGUUAACUAUUGAUCAGAUGAGACUCAUAUGAGAUUUACUAUGUAGAUGUAACAGUUGUAUUCUAAAAUUUCUCCAAUUAAAAUUUUAUUUUUAAAAUUAAAAAUUUAUUGAGGUAAAAUGGUAUAAAUUGGUUAGUAAGUUUUCAACUUUCUAAUUCAAUUAAAAGGGAAAUUCUUGCCUAAUCAAUUUAUCGUGAAUGUAAGAUAUAGAAUGUAUCCGGUUUAGCUAAGUUUUUCUCUAAUUAAAAUUAAAACCUUCCUUAUAGGGAAAAAGAAAUUAGAUGAGGAGAAAAAUUAAUUGAGAAUCAUAAUUGAUGUGAAAAUUAUUUAUUUUAAAAAAUAAAUUUUUUUUGGUAAUUUUUUUUCUUUUUCUUUCUCCUUAAAUAAUAUAUAUAUAUAUAUUCUAAAAUUAAAAAUUACUCUUACGUAAUUUCACUAAAACCUAGAGAGCAUAGUUAUAUUAUACAUUAUUACUCUCAUAGACAAAGGUCCUAAAAGAGAAGAUUUUUUUAAGUGGAGAAGGUUGAAAGUUGAAAUCUUCUUCCCCAGUAUAUAUUAAAAGAAUCUCACUUUAUUGAAAACAUGUUUAUAGUUUUUAUGAAUUGAAAACUCAAAGUUCCAUUGGGGUGUGAAGGUAGGUCACCUUGAGCAGUAGACACUUAGCCCUGUUUUAUUUGUAGAAAAUAAUGGUUUGUUUUUCAAUAUUUAGGAAAAUUUUAAUUUUUAUUUUUUUAUAAAAAAACAAGGAAAUAUAUAGGAAAUGUAUUCACCUCUUAAUAGAAAAUAAUUUUUAAUUCAAAAAUUAAAAAAUUUUCGUAUCUUUCAUAAUUAAAG
rnacentral:misc_RNA from 1 species